AUGAUUCUGUUCAGACCAAGGUUGUUCAGACCAAAAUUUUUGCUUGAAAUGACCAUCUUCAGGGAAAAUCCUAUCUUUCCUAUCUUUUACCCAGGUUCUUAUGCACCCCGGACUGAAGCAAUGCAGUUCACAUUGGUGGUGUCCCUCCUAUGUCCAAGGCACAAGUCCAUUCAAAUUCUCUUCCAUUAUCAUCAAAGGAGAAAGGACAAAGAGCAAAGAUUUCUUCUGCCAAUAGCCGUCCUAAGGAAUUUCAGAGGACUCAUGGCUGAAUGUCUCAAUUUUCAAGAGUUACUCCUUUUCAUACACGAUCCUACGUUUCAGGUAGUUCAGUUGGGAAACUUUUCACUUAGAUGAUCUAAACCCACAAAUACACUAACAUAAGGAACAGAGUACACUGAUGUUACAAAGCUUAAAAAAUUAAUGGGUCACGUUGAAAUGUUAAUGACAAAGCUGAUACAUUGCAUUUUGAUUUUGUGUGGCUCCAACACAUUCCCAUCAAAUCCAUAAUCAAAAGUGAUGUGUUCUCUCAAAACACAAACACCUUUGAAACAAAACACAGCACCAGCGUGCUUUCAUCAGACCUACUUACAGCACAGAAAUAUUAAACAAACAUCUCCUUUCUCGCCCUAAUUAUUGAACAGUGGAUGUAGUAGCAAAGAUGUAUUCACUUUAAUGAAUUUCAUGGUGUUUUAAAUAAGGAAGAAAAGUCUCUUUCCCAUUUAUUCCUUUGCAGCUACAUACCUGGUCUUAAAUUUGUAGGACUGAUGCUUCCACAUAGCAAAAUGAACCACCUUCAUUAUCUCAGUUUACAAGUAGGGAAACUGAGGCACGAAGCACAAACUUUCCUUCCCCAAAGCCAGUGAGUAAAUGAGCAGCAGGAGGGAUCGACCCCCGCAGCAGCAGUGCCCUGCUGUAACCACUAAGCAGCAUCACCUGCAUUUAACACCAACCAUUAUCAGUUUGCAAAGUGCUACUGAUGGAGAAGACCUGCUGGGUCCUUUUGCAGUCGCCUGUAAGGGCAGGCUUUUUCCAUGCCUUGUGCUGCAGGCGAAAGUGCUUCAUACAAUCCCCACAUUAAAAUAAUUCAAGCAGGAGGCCAUCUCUCAUUUCCUUUGGGGGAAACAAUUCUGUAGCUGAAUAGAUUGCAGCAUUAGGAAAUAUUUCCUGAUGUCCAGCCCCUGCCACAGCUUCUAGAAUCUGUUGAUAUAUUAUUAAUAGAAAGGAAAAUAAAUAUAGGUAUUAAUGCCA
rnacentral:lncRNA from 1 species